rnacentral:rRNA from 1 species
CCGAUUUCACACUGCCAAGAAAAGCCUCUAGCGAGGGAAGAGGUGCCCGUACCGCAAACCGACACAGGUAGGCGAGGAGAGAAUCCUAAGGCGCGCGGGAGAACUCUCGUUAAGGAACUCGGCAAAAUGACCCCGUAACUUCGGGAGAAGGGGUGCUCUUUGGGGUGAAGAGCCCUGAAGAGCCGCAGUGAAAAGGCCCAAGCGACUGUUUAUCAAAAACACAGGUCUCUGCGAAGCCGAAAGGCGACGUAUAGGGGCUGACACCUGCCCGGUGCUGGAAGGUUAAGGGGAGCGCUUAGCGGAAGCGAAGGUGCGAACCGAAGCCCCAGUAAACGGCGGCCGUAACUAUAACGGUCCUAAGGUAGCGAAAUUCCUUGUCGGGUAAGUUCCGACCCGCACGAAAGGUGUAACGACUUGGGCGCUGUCUCAACGAGAGACCCGGUGAAAUUAUACUACCUGUGAAGAUGCAGGUUACCCGCGACAGGACGGAAAGACCCCGUGGAGCUUUACUGCAGCCUGAUAUGGAAUUUUGGUAUCGCUUGUACAGGAUAGGUGGGAGCCUGGGAAGCCGGAGCGCCAGCUUCGGUGGAGGCGGCGGUGGGAUACCACCCUGGCGGUAUUGAAAUUCUAACCCGCACCCCUUAACGGGGUGGGAGACAGUGUCAGGUGGGCAGUUUGACUGGGGCGGUCGCCUCCCAAAAGGUAACGGAGGCGCCCAAAGGUUCCCUCAGAAUGGUUGGAAAUCAUUCGGAGAGUGCAAAGGCACAAGGGAGCUUGACUGCGAGACGGACAGGUCGAGCAGGGACGAAAGUCGGGCUUAGUGAUCCGGUGGUUCCGCAUGGAAGGGCCAUCGCUCAACGGAUAAAAGCUACCCCGGGGAUAACAGGCUGAUCUCCCCCAAGAGUCCACAUCGACGGGGAGGUUUGGCACCUCGAUGUCGGCUCAUCGCAUCCUGGGGCUGUAGUCGGUCCCAAGGGUUGGGCUGUUCGCCCAUUAAAGCGGUACGCGAGCUGGGUUCAGAACGUCGUGAGACAGUUCGGUCCCUAUCCGUCGCGGGCGGAGGAAAUUUGAGAGGAGCUGUCCUUAGUACGAGAGGACCGGGAUGGACGCACCGCUGGUGUACCAGUUGUCCCGCCAGGGGCACCGCUGGGUAGCUAUGUGCGGACGGGAUAAGCGCUGAAAGCAUCUAAGCGUGAAGCCCCCCUCAAGAUGAGAUUUCCCACCGC